GCGCUCCUCGCCCCCUUCGUUGGCUCCGGCUCUGCGCCUGCGUUUGACCUGCCGGCAAACGCAACACGAAGCGGGCGUGGGGAGCGGGGCGGGAGGCGAGGACCGAGGGCAACGUGGCGUGGCACGGCCGCGAGGGGGAGGCGCCUUUGCUUGCCGCGGAGGGGGGCUAUAAAACGGGCGCGAGAUCCAGAUCUGGGCCGAUGCGACCGCCCUCGCUGCUCUCCCUCACCCUCGACUCGGCGCUCCUCCGCAUCGCCCACAUCGCCGACAUCUCCCACCUCCCCGACCACCUCGUCAUCGACCUCUUCCGUAGAACCCUGAGUGCUGGUAAGCUGACCGAGAAAGUUCUGAAGUUGUUUCUGGCAACCGGCUGUGAGGAAAUCGUCUUGGCCGUUCAAUUGCUAAACAUUAAGCAACCACUUGUACCAGUGCUUCCCACAAGUAUGUCUUCGGUAAUUCAAGACAGUGAAGUUGACAUUGUGAUCGCAGCAGUCCAGCCCAACCUGACCACCUUCUUUGAAGCAUGGCGGCCAUUUUUCUCUCGUUUCCACAUCAUUGUUGUCAAAGAUCCAGACAUGACAGAGAAUCUUCAAAUCCCCACUGGCUUUGAUCUCAAGGUUUAUACAAAGUCAGAUAUUGAUGGAGUGCUUGGCGCCACGUCCAUCAACUUCUCUGGUCACUCAUGCCGUUACUUUGGGUAUCUUGUCUCACGGAAGAAGUAUGUGAUUUCAAUCGAUGACAAUUGCCUCCCAGCGAAGGACACUGCUGGGUCCACUGUUGAUGUUGUUGCACAGCACAUAGCCAAUUUGAAGACACCUGCCACACCUUUCUUUUUCAACACGCUCUAUGAUCCAUACCGGAAAGGUGCUGAUUUUGUCCGUGGUUACCCAUUCAGCCUGCGUGAGGGGGUUGAGUGCAUGCUCUCAUGUGGUUUGUGGCUGCAUAACGCUGACUACGACCCAAUGACUCAUGUUGUGAAGAGAAAUCAGCGGAACACAACCUAUGUGGAUGCUGUAAUGACAGUUCCUCUUGGUGCAAUGCUGCCUGUGAGUGGGAUAAAUGUUGCAUUUAAUCGUGAGGUGUUGGGGCCUGCUAUUUUCCCAGGCCUGCGGCUACGUAAAGAAGGGAAGCACAGAUGGGAUACCCUUGAAGAUGUGUGGAAUGGCUUGUGUGCUAAAGUAGUGUGCGACAGCUUAGGGUAUGGUGUGAAGACUGGACUGCCUUAUGUGAUGAGAAGUGAUGCAGAAGCAGGUAAAGCUCUGGAGAGCUUGAAAGAAUGGGAAGGGGUUAAAAUCAUGGAUGAAGUUCUUCCAUUCUUCCAAUCACUCAAACUAUCAAGGACUGCCGUUACUGUUGAGGAUUGUGUGAAGGAGCUAGCAAGCAUUGUCCGGGAGAAACUAGGGCCAAAGAAUGCGAUCUUCACCAAAGCAGCUGAUGCCAUGGUGGAAUGGAACAACAUCUGGAAGUCUCAUGCAGCUCGGGAUGCUUAGUUUGGAGUUUGUGUGUUACGACAAAGCAUAAUUGUUUGGAAUUUGUUUUCAGUUUUAAUCUUUUCUUGUGGAACUCGUGAAGCUGAAUAAACAACGUUCCAGUAUGCAGGGAAUUUGGCUCGAGUAAUUGAACACUUGAUUGUAUACGCUUAAGAACAGUAAUGUACUAUCAAAAGAACCUUUCAUGUUCUUACA